rnacentral:rRNA from 1 species
AUUGAACGCUGGCGGCAGGCCUAACACAUGCAAGUCGGACGAGUGGCGGACGGGUGAGUAAUGUAUGGGAAACUGCCUGAUGGAGGGGGAUAACUACUGGAAACGGUAGCUAAUACCGCAUACCAUCAGAUGUGCCCAGAUGGGAUUAGCUAGUAGGUAAGGUAACGGCUUACCUAGGCGACGAUCCCUAGCUGGUCUGAGAGGAUGAUCAGCCACACUGGAACUGAGACACGGCCCAGACUCCUACGGGAGGCAGCAGUGGGGAAUAUUGCACAAUGGGCGCAAGCCUGAUGCAGCCAUGCCGCGUGUAUGAAGAAGGCCUUCGGGUUGUAAAGUACUUUCAGUCGGGAGGCGUUACCGACAGAAGAAGCACCGGCUAACUCCGUGCCAGCAGCCGCGGUAAUUC